rnacentral:tRNA from 1 species
GCGGGAAUAGCUCAGUUGGUAGAGCGCGACCUUGCCAAGGUCGAGGUCGAGGGUUCGAGUCCCUUUUCCCGCUCCA